rnacentral:tRNA from 1 species
GUCUCCAGUAGCUCAGUGGUUAGAGCAUGUGACUACAUCACGCAGGGUCGUGGGUUCAAAUCCCACCUGGGGCU